CAACAUUUCAGUUUUCAGCUUU
rnacentral:siRNA from 1 species